GCCCUGGGCCGCUGCCCGGCGCUAGGGGCGAGUGGGGGAAGCCCCGGGGAAAGGCCGGCCGGUGUCCGCGUCCCUGGGGACUGUGUCUGGGACGGCGGAGCUCAGCCUCGGCGGGACGGGAAGCGGUGGCGUGGGGCCGGGCGGGGCGAGAUGGGCUGCUGAGGGCGGUGGGCCCCGUGCGGCGCAGGCUUGUCGGGGCGGUGCGGCCGGUGCGGCCUGGGCAGAAGAGUCAGGAGUACCGCAGUUUGACAGCCCUGAGUCAGUGUGAAUCCAAGCUCUCCUCCUGUGUGGGCUGGUGGAAAGGAGGUCCCAGCUACAGAUGCCUCAGGCUGAAGCAGCAGUGGCAUUUUUACUUCCAGACUGUUAACGUGACACUUGGGUGACUGCAACAGGCUGAGCAAUGUGUCUGUGUCGCGUUCUCCCUAUGUCUCAGUAAAAACAGCCACAGUAAAAGCAGCAUGGAGGAAGAAAAUAGAAAAGGUGAUAGGAUUUGGAGGCCAGAUUCGUUCUAGAUAUACUCAGGUAAAGGCAGUGGAAUGAAAUCAAAUGAAAUGAGCAUUGACUGGCAAGUGGAGUGUUAGAAAGGUGUGCAAGGAGCCAGGGAAGGAGUGGAGAGGAAGAGAAACCUACUCCGGUUCCCACAGGCUCCCUCCCCUGCUCUCGGUUCUCUCUUUGCUUCUACCAUUUUCGCUCUUACUGCCUUCCUCUUUCUCAUGGGAACUGCCUGUAGCCACCUGGAAAGAAAACGGCAGCCUCUGCUACAAUUGCCACAUUAGGGUGUCAAAUAUAUUCUGGCAGUAUGACCACAGGCCACUCAUGGAAAGCAAAAAUAGGUGCUUCUCUCAAGCAGAAGCUGAAGAGUCCUGCGAAUGUGCUGCAUGGUACCGGUGUACCAGCUGUGUUGGUCAGUGCAAAGCUCCGCUGGGUCAAGAAAUGUUUGCGUGCACAAGGCUGAGGCAGAGGCUGCGAAAGCUGGCUCACUUAUUUUGACGGAUGAAGAGUCAAGAUAAAACCAAGGAGACACAUACACUAAUUGGAUUCUCGCUGGUUGCACGGAAGUGUUAUCUCAACUGGGUUUGUGAUUAAGUCAUUCUGGGGAUGGGAUGCUGUCAUUGAAAAAGCACCUGUUUUAAACUGCAUUUGACAGGUGAUAAAAUUCAUAUUAUCAGCUGAAGUCCCUGACUUUGCACACGUAGAUGAGAGUAAAAGAAGCAGUUUUGAGCUCAUCCUUGCAAUCUCUGACCCGAACAACAACUUCAGCAUGCUUUUUCCUGUAAUAUGAGAAUCUGAUUUUAGUCCUGUACAUGAAGAUCCUCUAUUUCUAUGGAAGACAAAUGGCUGGUUGCAAUGCUGCACCAUUUUUGAAAAUAAUAUAAACUGCAAGAGAAAAAGAAGAAAAAAUCUUAGCUGGCGACAGUCAUCUUAUUAGGUACGUUCCAUACAUGAUGAUGGCACAGAAGGAAAAAAAGCAAUCAUGAGUGGUCAUUUAUGAAACAGAAGUGGGACAUUCAUUCAUAGUGUAAAGGGGAGUACUGGGAACCCCAUGAGAUGCUGGUAAUCUCUUUUACAAGAAUUACUAUAGGAAACUCAUUCAUUCCCCAUUCCGAAACACUUAUGAAUUAUUCAGUUAAUCCUGUCUGGGGAGAUAAAUGUCGCAUGCUAUAGGAGCACAUGCUAUGGUAUUUAUUAACUUAGUUCGAUGUUUCACAGGCUUCAAAUUUGCUUUUCCAUAAUGACAAAUAUUAUUGUUUUAGUUCCUGUAUUUUGCUUCUUAUCACUGAGUUUACAAGAACCACCCCCAUCUGUGUUUCUACUUGACAAGUUUUCUGAAAUGAAUCAAUUGAAAAAUGUUUGAUGUUUUAGAAAUCUAUUGUAGACAUUCUGUCUCAGAUAUUAACAGUAUCUGUCAGCCACCAAAUAAACACAGCUUAUCUGGACUCUUUU